UUCCGGUUCAGCUGAUCAGCAGACGACAAUCAGUGGCGUCGAUCAUUUGUAUGCAGUAACUAAAAUCUGAUGUUACAUAGUUCUCGCAACUGCUGGUACAAUGGGAAUGGGCUCUGUAUUUACACGUUACGCCGGCCUACGGUGUUUGUUUAUUCAAAACACACUUGGUGUGAACGCGUAUCGACAUAUAGAAAAUGCAAUCAACUACAAUAGCAGGAACAAGACACUAUACCGCGAACAAUCAACAUCUGUUCGCCUCGCAUAUUCGAUUUACAGCAAAGAGGGACGUAGUUCUGGAUCCCCUGUGUUAAUAGUGCACGGGUUGAUGGGCUCUAGAAUGAACUGGAAUUCUGUCUCCAAAGCAAUAGUCUCCAAAAUUAACCGGAAUGUGAUUGCCAUAGACGCACGGAAUCACGGAGAUAGUGCACAUUCGCCUGACAUGACAUACGGUCAUAUGGUAGAGGAUCUUCGUCUGUUUGUAGAUGAACUUAAACUGGGUCGUGUAUGUCCAAUUGGACAUAGUAUGGGUGGAAAGGUGGUGAUGCUGUUUGCUCUAACGCACCCAGAACUUGUGGAAAAGCUGGUUGUAGUUGAUGUUUCUCCAAGGAGAGUCAGUCCAAGUUUCACCACAGUUAAAAAAUACUUAGAGGCUAUGCAGCAAAUAGAGUUUGGAAAAAGCAUGUCAUUGUCAGCUGCUCGUAAGCUUAUAGAACAGAAAUUGUCUCCCAUUGUAAAAGUACCAGCUGUCUGUCAGUUCCUUGCCAUGAAUGUAACUCAGGCAGAAAAUGGUGAGAUGAAAUGGAAAGUAAAUCUGGAUACACUUGUAGACACUUUUGAUGAAAUUUCUUCAUUUCCAGCAACAGAAAAAGUUUUUGAAGGUCCAACAUACUUCAUAGGUGGAGGUGAUUCUGAUUAUAUAAGCUGACUCCAGAUCUAGACGUGCACACAGCAGCACUGAAAUUGGAUGGCUGGUGAACACCUCAUGACAAACAGUCCAUAGGUGUAGUACCAGUUCAUACUGUCCAAUGGCCACAAUAUUUUGUUGAUCAGACGUGUUGUCAUUGUCAGGUACUGAGUUACGAGCUGUGUGUCCAGAUUGAUGGGUACAGUGAACACACUUUGGGGAAGAGGGGCACCCUAGGCCAGAGUGAUGGAAUUGGGUAUCUGCUAUAAUCCUGCAGCGAGGAACCAUGUGUGUGCUGCAGUCCGUAGCCUCUAGUGUGGAAAUUGUUCCUGUAUCUUAGGAUUUCCAACCAAGUCUUUGUUCAAGUGGAUCCUGGGACCACAGUUUCACUGAUUAAUCAGAAAAGAAGAUGAGCAGGAAAUUAAGAAAAUCUUCCCAUCAGCAACUUUCAAGUACAUUCCUGGUGCUGGACACUGGGUACAUGCAGAUAAACCUAAUGAGUUUGUGGAAGAAGUCUGCAGAUUUUUAACAGGAAAU